rnacentral:tRNA from 1 species
UCCCUGGAGGACUAGUGGUUAGGCCUUGGCGCUCUCAAUGCUGCAGCCCAGGUUUGAUUCCCGGCCAGGGAA